rnacentral:rRNA from 1 species
UACGAAGGGGGGCUAGCGUUGUUCGGAAUCACUGGGCGUAAAGCGCACGUAGGCGGACUUUUUAAGUAGGGGUGAAAUCCCCGGGGGCUCAACCCCGGAACUGCCUUUGAUACUGGAAGUCUUGAGUCCGAGAGAGGUGAGUGGAACUCCGAGUGUAGAGGUGAAAAUUCGUAGAUAUUCGGAAGAACACCAGUGGCGAAGGCGGCUCACUGGCUCGGUACUGACGCUGAGGUGCGAAAAGCGUGGGGGAGCAAAACAGGAUUAGAUACCCCGCGUAGUCC